rnacentral:rRNA from 1 species
GCAUCGAUGAAGAACGCAGCGAACUGCGAAACGUGAUGUGAACUGCACUCUUCGUGAAUCAUCCAAUCUUUGAACGCACUUUGCACCUUGCGGCUUUUGUCACAAGGUAUACUUGUUUGAGUAUCCGAAACUACCUCACCUCCCCCUCGGGGCGAAGUGGACUUGAGAUUCGAUGACUGCUGCCUUGUGUAGUAGGAGUCGUUUCUUUAAAUGUGGUGGUCGUUUGUGGGAGGUCUCCGUCUGGAACCUGACAGACUAUUGGGAUAACAUCCUGACAAUCGUCUGUCGGUUCACCUUUUAUUGGACGUUGACUGACCUUGGCCACCAGCGAGGACAACCCUAUCAAAUGGGACGUGUCUUCACGUGGACUAUGGUGCACGCAAGUGUGUCUUGGAAAACAGUUAUUAUGGAUCUCAAAUCAAGUAAGGAUACCCGCUGAACUUAAGCAUAUCAAUAAGCGGAGGA